CCCUUAGAUGCUCUGGGCCGCACGCGCGCUACACUGACCAGUGCAACAAGCAUCCGUCCUUGGCCGACAGGCUCGGGCAAUCUUUGAACGCUGGUCGUGAUGGGGAUAGACUUUUGCAAUUUUUGGUCUUCAACGAGGAAUUCCUAGUAAACGCAAGUCAUAAGCUUGCGUUGAUUACGUCCCUGCCCUUUGUACACACCGCCCGUCGCUACUACCGAUUGAACGUUUUAGUGAGGUAUUUGGACUGGACCUUCGGAGGUUCGCGCCUCCGUUGCUGUUCGGGAAGACUCCCAAACUUGAGCGUUUAGAGGAAGUAAAAGUCGUAACA
rnacentral:rRNA from 1 species